AAAUAUUAUAUCGGGUUUAUCUGCAAGAUUUUUUUUUAGUUGGAUACAUAACUUUGACAGGUUAAGCCUUAGUGUCCCCUUAUUCUCAGUUGUCACUUCAUUUUCUACAUGGCGCGGGUCACACUGUUUCUAUUGCUGCUACUUGUAUACGGUGUAGUCUCCGAUCACUUCAUUGUUGAAACUCUUCCUGGGUUUCAUGGAAAACUUCCAUUUACACUCGAAACUGGUUAUAUUAGUGUUGGAGAAGAGGAAAAAGUGCAGCUAUUUUAUUUCUUUGUACAAUCUGAGAGAGACCCACGAAAUGAUCCUCUCAUGAUUUGGCUCACCGGAGGUCCUGGUUGUUCUGGUCUGUCUUCCUUUGUAUAUGAAAUUGGCCCUUUAACCUUUGAUUAUGCAAAUUCUAGUGGAAAUUUCCCGAAACUGGAGUUGAACUCAUAUUCUUGGACCAAGGUGGCAAACAUAAUAUUUAUAGAUCAACCUGCUGGCACAGGCUACUCAUAUGCAAACACUUCAGAAGCUUACAACUGCAAUGACACCCUCUCUGUAACUCUAACUUAUGACUUCCUUAGAAAGUGGCUUAUGGAUCAUCCCGAGUAUCUCAACAAUCCACUAUAUGUUGGUGGUGAUUCCUACUCAGGCAUUUUUGUUGCACUGCUUACUCGCAAAAUAUACGAUGGUAUUGAAGUUGGUGACAGGCCUCGAGUUAAUAUCAAAGGAUAUAUACAAGGCAAUGCUCUAACAGAUAGAUCCAUCGACUUCAAUGGUAGAGUCAAAUAUGCUAAUCAUAUGGGACUUAUUUCAGAUAAGAUCUAUCAGUCGGCGAAAGCAAAUUGCAAUGGGAAUUACAUUGACGUUGAUCCAAAUAACAUAUUAUGCCUAAAUGAUCUUCAAAAAGCAACAAGGUGUCUCAAGAACAUACGACGGGCGCAAAUUUUAGAGCCUUACUGUGACCUUCCAUAUUUAAUGGGUAUUCUCCAAGAAACUCCUACAAAUGGCCAGUCAGUAUUUCCAAUUGCAGGACCAUGGUGUCGAGAAAAGAAUUACAUAUACUCCUAUGUUUGGGCAAAUGAUAAAGCUGUCCAAAAAGCACUAAACGUUCGUGAGGGAACAACAUUGGAGUGGGUGAGAUGCAAUGAAAGCAUGCAUUAUAGAGGUAAGGAGAGAACUGAGUCAUAUGUGUAUGAUGUCCCAAGUGUCAUUGAUGAUCAUCAACAUCUCACCAGCAAAUCCUGUCGAGCACUAAUUUACAGUGGUGACCAUGACAUGGUUGUUCCUCAUUUGAGCACGAAAGAAUGGAUAGAGACUUUGAAACUGCCAAUUGCAGAUGAUUGGGAGCCUUGGUUUGUUGACGGUCAAGUAGCAGGAUACAAAGUGAAGUAUUUACAAAAUGAUUAUGAAAUGACAUAUGCAACUGUUAAGGGUGCGGGGCAUACAGCUCCUGAAUACAAGCCGGAACAAUGCCUGCCCAUGGUUGAUAGGUGGUUUUCCGGUGACCCUCUUUGAUUUCACCCUUGCAAGACAUUAAUGUACUCAUUUGUUUCUCUGGAUUGACAUAAGCUUGCUUCUUUGAGCAACAUCACAUUAAGCUUGUCUGUCAUGUAAUCUUGACAUGUAAAAUCACACAUUAAAAAGUAUAUAUGAUUCGAGGUUGACGUCAUU
rnacentral:misc_RNA from 1 species